rnacentral:rRNA from 1 species
UGCAGUCGAACGGUAACAGCGGAGCUUGCUCCGGCUGACGAGUGGCGGACGGGUGAGUAAUACUUAGGAAUCUGCCCAGUAGUGGGGGACAACAUGUGGAAACGCAUGCUAAUACCGCAUACGCCCUACGGGGGAAAGCGGGGGAUCUUCGGACCUCGCGCUAUUGGAUGAGCCUAAGUCAGAUUAGCUUGUUGGUGGGGUAAAAGCCUACCAAGGCGACGAUCUGUAGCUGGUCUGAGAGGACGAUCAGCCACACUGGAACUGAGACACGGUCCAGACUCCUACGGGAGGCAGCAGUGGGGAAUAUUGCACAAUGGGCGCAAGCCUGAUGCAGCAAUGCCGCGUGUGUGAAGAAGGCCUGCGGGUUGUAAAGCACUUUCAGUAAGGAGGAAAAUUAUUAAGGUUAAUAACCUUGAGACUUGACGUUACUUACAGAAGAAGCACCGGCUAACUCCGUGCCAGCAGCCGCGGUAAUACGGAGGGUGCGAGCGUUAAUCGGAAUUACUGGGCGUAAAGCGUGCGUAGGCGGCAUGGUCAGUCGGAUGUGAAAGCCCCGGGCUCAGCCUGGGAAUUGCAUUCGAUACUGCCAAGCUAGAGUAUGUUAGAGGAAAGUGGAAUUCCCGGUGUAGCGGUGAAAUGCGUAGA